rnacentral:rRNA from 1 species
UACAGAGGGUGCAAACGUUGUUCGGAUUUACUGGGCGUAAAGCGCGUGUAGGCUGCUUCGCAAGUCGGAUGUGAAAGCCCUGGGCUCAACCCAGGAAGUGCAUUCGAAACUGCAGAGCUGGAGUCCUGGAGAGGAAGGCGGAAUUCUCGGUGUAGAGGUGAAAUUCGUAGAUAUCCGAAAGAACACCGGUGGCGAAGGCGGCUCGCUGGGCUUUUGCUGACACUGAAGCGCGACAGCGUGGGGAGCAAACAGG